rnacentral:lncRNA from 13 species
GUGCAUGUGCGUGUGUAGCCGUGGUUAAUCCUGUGUGUGCCCAUGUGUGGCGUGGUUAACCCUGUGUGCAUGUGUGUGCAUGUAUGCGGCAGUAAAUACUGUGUGCGUGUGUAGCGGUAAUUAACCCUGUGUGUGUGUGUGCAUGCAUGAACAGUAGUAAUCCUGUGUGUGCAUGUGCGUAUGUGGCGGUGGUUAAUCCUGUGUGUGCAUAUGUGUGUCCGUGUGCAGUGGUGGUUGUGUGUGUGUGUGUGUGUGUGUGUGUGCAGUGGUGGUUAACCCUGUGUGUGUCCAGUGGUAGUUAACCCUGUGUGUGCAUGUGUGUGCCCAUGUGCAGUGGUGGUUGUGUGUGUGUGUGUGUGUGUGUGUGUGUGCAGUGGUGGUUAACCCUGUGUGUGUGUGUCCAGUGGUAGUUAGUCCUGUGUGCGCAUGUGUGUGCCCCUGUGCAGUGGUGGUUAACUGUAUGUGUGUGUGUGUGUGUGUGUGUGUGUCCAGUGGUGGUUAACUGUAUGUGUGUGUGUGUGUGUGUGUGUCUCCACUGGUAUUUAACCUUGUAUGUGCAUGUGUGUGCCCGUGUGCAGCGGCGGUUAACCCUGUGUGUGCGUGUCCAUUCCCGUGUGCACUGGUGGUUAACCAUGUGUGUGUGCAUGCCCGUGCACGGCAGUAGUAAAUCGUGUGCGUGCACAUGCACGCUUUCUCGGGACCCUGAGGACUGGACACCAGUGGUUCUGAGGACAGCUCUGGUGACACUGCGGCUGUGCCGUGGAGUGACUCUGUCUCC